UGCCAGACUCCUACGGGAGGCAGCAGUGGGGAAUAUUGCACAAUGGGGGAAACCCUGAUGUAGCGACGCCGCGUGAGCGAUGAAGUAUUUCGGUAUGUAAAGCUCUAUCAGCAGGGAAGAAAAUGACGGUACCUGACUAAGAAGCCCCGGCUAACUACGUGCCAGCAGCCGCGGUAAUACGUAGGGGGCAAGCGUUAUCCGGAUUUACUGGGUGUAAAGGGAGCGUAGACGGCGGUGCAAGCCAGAUGUGAAAGCCCGGGGCUCAACCCCGGGACUGCAUUUGGAACUGCGUGGCUGGAGUGCAGGAGGGGCAGGCGGAAUUCCUGGUGUAGCGGUGAAAUGCGUAGAUAUCAGGAGGAACACCGGUGGCGAAGGCGGCCUGCUGGACUGCAACUGACGUUGAGGCCCGAAAGCGUGGGGAGCAAACAGGAUUAGAUACCCGAGUAUG
rnacentral:rRNA from 1 species